rnacentral:rRNA from 1 species
UGGCCGCACAAGUCCAUCGGAAAAUCNGNCCGCUCAACGGGUGGGCGUCCGGUGGAAACUGUGUGGCUUGGGACCGGAAGGCGCGACGGGUACGUCCGGGGUAGGAGUGAAAUCCCGUAAUCCUGGACGGACCGCCGAUGGCGAAAGCACGUCGCGAGGACGGAUCCGACAGUGAGGGACGAAAGCCAGGGUCUCGAACCGGAUUAGAUACCCGGGUAGUCCUGGCCGUAAACAAUGUCUGUUAGGUGUGGCUCCCACUACGAGUGGGUGCUGUGCCGUAGGGAAGCCGCUAAACAGACCGCCUGGGAAGUACGUCCGCAAGGA